GUGUGACUGCGUACCUUUUGUAUAAUGGGUCAGCGACUUAUAUUCUGUAGCAAGGUUAACCGAAUAGGGGAGCCGAAGGGAAACCGAGUCUUAACUGGGCGUUAAGUUGCAGGGUAUAGACCCGAAACCCGGUGAUCUAGCCAUGGGCAGGUUGAAGGUUGGGUAACACUAACUGGAGGACCGAACCGACUAAUGUUGAAAAAUUAGCGGAUGACUUGUGGCUGGGGGUGAAAGGCCAAUCAAACCGGGAGAUAGCUGGUUCUCCCCGAAAGCUAUUUAGGUAGCGCCUCGUGAAUUCAUCUCCGGGGGUAGAGCACUGUUUCGGCAAGGGGGUCAUCCCGACUUACCAACCCGAUGCAAACUGCGAAUACCGGAGAAUGUUAUCACGGGAGACACACGGCGGGUGCUAACGUCCGUCGUGAAGAGGGAAACAACCCAGACCGCCAGCUAAGGUCCCAAAGUCAUGGUUAAGUGGGAAACGAUGUGGGAAGGCCCAGACAGCCAGGAUGUUGGCUUAGAAGCAGCCAUCAUUUAAAGAAAGCGUAAUAGCUCACUGGUCGAGUCGGCCUGCGCGGAAGAUGUAACGGGGCUAAACCAUGCACCGAAGCUGCGGCAGCGACGCUUAUGCGUUGUUGGGUAGGGGAGCGUUCUGUAAGCCUGUGAAGGUGUACUGUGAGGUAUGCUGGAGGUAUCAGAAGUGCGAAUGCUGACAUAAGUAACGAUAAAGCGGGUGAAAAGCCCGCUCGCCGGAAGACCAAGGGUUCCUGUCCAACGUUAAUCGGGGCAGGGUGAGUCGACCCCUAAGGCGAGGCCGAAAGGCGUAGUCGAUGGGAAACAGGUUAAUAUUCCUGUACUUGGUGUUACUGCGAAGGGGGGACGGAGAAGGCUAUGUUGGCCGGGCGACGGUUGUCCCGGUUUAAGCGUGUAGGCUGGUUUUCCAGGCAAAUCCGGAAAAUCAAGGCUGAGGCGUGAUGACGAGGCACUACGGUGCUGAAGCAACAAAUGCCCUGCUUCCAGGAAAAGCCUCUAAGCAUCAGGUAACAUCAAAUCGUACCCCAAACCGACACAGGUGGUCAGGUAGAGAAUACCAAGGCGCUUGAGAGAACUCGGGUGAAGGAACUAGGCAAAAUGGUGCCGUAACUUCGGGAGAAGGCACGCUGAUAUGUAGGUGAAGCGACUUGCUCGUGGAGCUGAAAUCAGUCGAAGAUACCAGCUGGCUGCAACUGUUUAUUAAAAACACAGCACUGUGCAAACACGAAAGUGGACGUAUACGGUGUGACGCCUGCCCGGUGCCGGAAGGUUAAUUGAUGGGGUCAGCGCAAGCGAAGCUCUUGAUCGAAGCCCCGGUAAACGGCGGCCGUAACUAUAACGGUCCUAAGGUAGCGAAAUUCCUUGUCGGGUAAGUUCCGACCUGCACGAAUGGCGUAAUGAUGGCCAGGCUGUCUCCACCCGAGACUCAGUGAAAUUGAACUCGCUGUGAAGAUGCAGUGUACCCGCGGCAAGACGGAAAGACCCCGUGAACCUUUACUAUAGCUUGACACUGAACAUUGAGCCUUGAUGUGUAGGAUAGGUGGGAGGCUUUGAAGUGUGGACGCCAGUCUGCAUGGAGCCGACCUUGAAAUACCACCCUUUAAUGUUUGAUGUUCUAACGUGGACCCGUAAUCCGGGUUGCGGACAGUGUCUGGUGGGUAGUUUGACUGGGGCGGUCUCCUCCUAAAGAGUAACGGAGGAGCACGAAGGUUGGCUAAUCCUGGUCGGACAUCAGGAGGUUAGUGCAAUGGCAUAAGCCAGCUUGACUGCGAGCGUGACGGCGCGAGCAGGUGCGAAAGCAGGUCAUAGUGAUCCGGUGGUUCUGAAUGGAAGGGCCAUCGCUCAACGGAUAAAAGGUACUCCGGGGAUAACAGGCUGAUACCGCCCAAGAGUUCAUAUCGACGGCGGUGUUUGGCACCUCGAUGUCGGCUCAUCACAUCCUGGGGCUGAAGUAGGUCCCAAGGGUAUGGCUGUUCGCCAUUUAAAGUGGUACGCGAGCUGGGUUUAGAACGUCGUGAGACAGUUCGGUCCCUAUCUGCCGUGGGCGCUGGAGAACUGAGGGGGGCUGCUCCUAGUACGAGAGGACCGGAGUGGACGCAUCACUGGUGUUCGGGUUGUCAUGCCAAUGGCACUGCCCGGUAGCUAAAUGCGGAAGAGAUAAGUGCUGAAAGCAUCUAAGCACGAAACUUGCCCCGAGAUGAGUUCUCCCUGACUCCUUGAGAGUCCUGAAGGAACGUUGAAGACGACGACGUUGAUAGGCCGGGUGUGUAAGCGCAGCGAUGCGUUGAGCUAACCGGUACUAAUGAACCGUGAGGCUUAACCUU
rnacentral:rRNA from 1 species